rnacentral:rRNA from 1 species
UACAGAGGUCCCAAGCGUUGUUCGGAUUCACUGGGCGUAAAGGGUGCGUAGGUGGUCGGGUAAGUCUGAUGCGAAAUCUCCGAGCUUAACUCGGAAAUGGCAUUGGAUACUAUUCGGCUAGAGGGUUUGAGGGGGGACUGGAAUACUUGGUGUAGCAGUGAAAUGCGUAGAUAUCAAGUGGAACACCAGUGGCGAAGGCGAGUCCCUGGAAAACUCCUGACACUGAGGCACGAAAGCUAGGGGAGCAAACAGG